rnacentral:rRNA from 1 species
UACGUAGGUGGCAAGCGUUGUCCGGAUUUACUGGGCGUAAAGAGCUCGUAGGCGGUCUGUCGCGUCUGCUGUGAAAACUCGGGGCUUAACCCCGGGCCUGCAGUGGGUACGGGCAGACUAGAGUGCGGUAGGGGAGACUGGAAUUCCUGGUGUAGCGGUGAAAUGCGCAGAUAUCAGGAGGAACACCGGUGGCGAAGGCGGGUCUCGUGGGCCGUAACUGACGCUGAGGAGCGAAAGCGUGGGGAGCGAACAGG